rnacentral:rRNA from 1 species
AUGCAGCACUUGGCAGGACUGCGAGCUCUUCAGUCCAUCAGAGUCACUCGAGAGUUUCUGCGUGAAGUUGGUGCUCUGACGGAGCUAAGAACAUUCGGUGUCUGCAACGUGAGAAGUGAACACUCUGCUGAUUUGACCAAUGCUAUCAGCAGAAUGAGUCAUCUUGUUCAUCUCGAAAUUGCCGCUGCAGCUGAGAAUGAGGUGCUGCAGCUGGAAGGGCUAUAUUUACCUCCAACCCUUUCUUGGCUAGCUUUAGCAGGGCAGCUAGAAAAAACAACGAUGCCUCAGCUUUUCUCUUCUUGGUCACACCUUAAUAGCCUCACCCGGUUGCAACUGGUAUCCUCCAAUAUUGAUGACGAAACCUUUUCGUGUCUGCACGUGUUACAUGGUCUACGCUCUCUUGAGCUACUGAAGGCUUUUGAAGGGACGAGGUUGGAAUUUUACGCAGGGUCAUUUCCAGAACUUCGGCAUCUAGAGAUAUGGGGGGCGGCACAGCUCAACCAAGUUGGAAUAGAGGAGGGUGCGAUGCAAAACCUCGUCGAGCUAUGGUUCGGAGACUGUCCCGAGCUAAAGUUUCUUCCUGAUGGCAUCGAACACCUCGUAGCCCUUGAGAAGUUGCGUUUGGAGGACACAUCAGAAGAGCUGAUAGAGAAGCUCCGGCAGGAGAGAGAUUCAUGUGAAUGCGGUGAAGAUGUAAUGAAGAUUAGCCACAUAAGGAAUGUUACAGUUCAACUAAGGCAAAAAGGACUUUGGGAAAGGAUUAGGUGA